CGAUCUUUGGAUUUAAUUGAUGGUAGUUAAGGCUUUAAGGUGCUUACCAGAAUGUGUCCUAUUCUCCUAAAGAAGAUCGUGAGUAUUACCACAAAACAAUCACACGUAUUCGUACUCGUUCCGGUUUCAAGCAACCUGGAGAGUUAAAUCUGAGGGACUGGAAAAUGCAAUCACACCAAGCCGAACCAAAAGCAAUCCGAAUCCGAAUCCCAAACACCCGCAAUCUCACACACGUCGCCGAGCUAUUCAAUUAUGGGUGUGCCCGGGGCCCUCGGAGGAGUUGGAACUGGAGUUGGUGGCGGAGAAGUGGGGACCGAUGGAGGGGUCUGGGACAGAUGGAACAGAACCUGGGUUGUCAUUUGGCCUUUAUGGCGCAGUAUUACGAUUAUUACUGUUGAGCUUAUCAGUUAUGCUUAUGGCUUAGGCGACAACGACAAAUAACGCUUGUGAUAGACAUACAUUUAUAUGUAUACACGCACGACCCACGCCCUUCUUUUUAUCAAUACAACCGACAAUAACAACAAAUGUUAUUAUAAUAUAAAAUAGACCAUCUACCAUCCCCAAUGCCCUGGGUCUGCAUCUCUG